GCGAACGAGGGGCCAGCGGCGGCGGUAAUGCGUUGGGGGCAAGCGUUGUCCGGAUUUAUGUGGCGUAAAGGGCGUGUAGGCGGCCAUGUAGGUCCGGUGUGAAAACUCGAGGCUCAACCUCGAGACGCCGAUGGAAACCAUGUGGCUAGAGUCCGGAAGAGGAGAGUGGAAUUCCUGGUGUAGCGGUGAAAUGCGCAGAUAUCAGGAAGAACACCCGUGGCUAAGGCGGCUCUCUAGUACGGUACUGACGCUGAGACGCGAAAGCGUGGGGAGCAAACAGGAUUAGAUACCCUAGUAGUC
rnacentral:rRNA from 1 species